AGAAGUAAUUUUGUUAAACUGUCUGAAGCUAAACGAACUGCAGUUGGAAAAAGCAGACAAGUGUUACACAGAAACUGGGGCUUUUUUUUCUUAAAAAAAAGUCUUUUCUGUCUCAGAAACCUGGACUAUCAUUCAUUUCAAUGACAAAUAUUUCCUCUUCCUGUAAAAUCUUGAUUUUUCCUAGUCUUAAGCAAUCAUGUCUGUGAUCAUGCUGCUGAAAUAAGGAGAUUCUGAAAGACCAGCAGACUGAGAGACAGCUGAGAUGGUGCCAUGGCUAUUAGUCUCUAGGACUUUGCACCCGAAGUUUCCUUUGUUUCAUGGACUAUCUGUGGACUCCAAGCUUUCUUAGGAGGGGAAAAGAAGAACAGGAGAAGUCUGAGAAUUCUGUCAUAUCCUAAAA